UACAGAGGGUGCGAGCGUUAAUCGGAUUUACUGGGCGUAAAGCGUGCGUAGGUGGCUUCUUAAGUCGGAUGUGAAAGCCCUGGGCUUAACCUGGGAACUGCAUUCGAUACUGGGACGCUAGAGUUCGGUAGAGGGCGGCGGAAUUCCGGGUGUAGCGGUGAAAUGCGUAGAUAUCCGGAGGAACACCGAUGGCGAAGGCAACCGCCUGGGCCUGAACUGACACUGAGGCACGAAAGCGUGGGGAGCAAACAGG
rnacentral:rRNA from 1 species